rnacentral:rRNA from 1 species
GUUUGAUCAUGGCUCAGAUUGAACGCUGGCGGCAGGCCUAACACAUGCAAGUCGAGCGGUAGAGAGAAGCUUGCUUCUCUUGAGAGCGGCGGACGGGUGAGUAAUGCCUAGGAAUCUGCCUGGUAGUGGGGGAUAACGUUCGGAAACGGACGCUAAUACCGCAUACGUCCUACGGGAGAAAGCAGGGGACCUUCGGGCCUUGCGCUAUCAGAUGAGCCUAGGUCGGAUUAGCUAGUUGGUGAGGUAAUGGCUCACCAAGGCGACGAUCCGUAACUGGUCUGAGAGGAUGAUCAGUCACACUGGAACUGAGACACGGUCCAGACUCCUACGGGAGGCAGCAGUGGGGAAUAUUGGACAAUGGGCGAAAGCCUGAUCCAGCCAUGCCGCGUGUGUGAAGAAGGUCUUCGGAUUGUAAAGCACUUUAAGUUGGGAGGAAGGGUUGUAGAUUAAUACUCUGCAAUUUUGACGUUACCGACAGAAUAAGCACCGGCUAACUCUGUGCCAGCAGCCGCGGUAAUACAGAGGGUGCAAGCGUUAAUCGGAAUUACUGGGCGUAAAGCGCGCGUAGGUGGUUUGUUAAGUUGGAUGUGAAAUCCCCGGGCUCAACCUGGGAACUGCAUUCAAAACUGACUGACUAGAGUAUGGUAGAGGGUGGUGGAAUUUCCUGUGUAGCGGUGAAAUGCGUAGAUAUAGGAAGGAACACCAGUGGCGAAGGCGACCACCUGGACUAAUACUGACACUGAGGUGCGAAAGCGUGGGGAGCAAACAGGAUUAGAUACCCUGGUAGUCCACGCCGUAAACGAUGUCAACUAGCCGUUGGAAGCCUUGAGCUUUUAGUGGCGCAGCUAACGCAUUAAGUUGACCGCCUGGGGAGUACGGCCGCAAGGUUAAACUCAAAUGAAUUGACGGGGCCCGCACAGCGGUGGAGCAUGUGGUUUUAAUUCGAAGC